AAACAAACAUCAGAAGGGGAAAAAGUGGAGUUGAUCACGAAACCAGGUUGAGAUCGAGGGGCCGCCGCCACAUCGAACUGCUGCCGUGGUUUUUGCUGCUGCUGCUUGGCCUAGAACUGCUUGAAGAGGGGACCAAACCAAGACGACCAAGACGACCAAGCCUCCAGCUAAGUGAGCUUGAAUUGUAUGUAGCAGCCAGGGAAUGGAAACACCGGCUGGGUGGAAGAGGGCGGAGUCUAAAAUAUGGAUGGCCAAGAGAUAUGAGGCUUCGACAUGGAAUAAGUAAGAUUGCUGGCUUUGGAGGCGAGUCCACCAUUUCGGCCGAGACCCGGUUUCGGGAACCGCUGGAUCGGACCUUGUCCCCGCCCAAAACUCGAACCGUGUCCACUGUUGGAAGGGAAUUUUCUUAGGGAACGAAUUAUCAUUCUUACCCCACUCUCUCAUAAAUUCGUCAAAGACGGUGGUUUCCCCUCAAAUGGAUGGAAAGAUUUAAAAUUGUGAAUGCCUUUCCUGCAUGUCAGGCGAUGGAUCCCAACUGAAAUGCGAAUUGACAGGUCUUAUUCAUGAGACCGACUCUCUCACCUCGCUCAUCUCUCUCUCUCUCUCACUCUCUCUGUCUAUCUAUGUUUUCGUUUCCCUGCCCUGGUUUGGGCUGUAUGAACCCUCGUCCGAUCCUGGUGCCCAUCAUCCCAGGUUCUAUCCACGACUCAUGGCCAAAGGAAGUCUUUUCCAUCAUGUUUCUUGAACUCCAGUUCAAUCGAAGCCACAAGGAAGACAACAAGAUUCCUUGGUUUGGUUCGACGCUUGAUGAUGAUGAUGACGACGACGACGAUGACGAUGAUGAUGGCCCCGGCCAAGACGUAAGUCCGUGUAGCUCUUCGUAGCUAUAUGGGAGCCCUCAUGUCCUAACUCUGAUCAAGCACGACAAGCCCGUCUCUGAGAUAUAUAAUUAUGUAAUUAUGUUGAUGAUUCACGACAGCAGUGAUCCUCGAAGCCUCCUUGUUGGCUGGUUUCCUUCGUUUGUGGCUUGGUGGUGGACAACAACGGGGAAGAGCCCGAAGACGAACGAGCUAAACACAUGGCUGAGCAAGAUCAUCGCCAUCGUCUUGGUCUGUCUGUCCGUAUGUCUGUCUGUCCGUCUGCCCGUUCGUGUGUGCGUGUGUGCCUCGUUGGGCGAGGAUGGUGAUGAUUCGAGUCCGUUCCUGGGGAUGUUAAUCAUGAUUACCCGUGGAUGAGCAUGGCCACUCGGGCGAAUUGUCGCCUCAGAGAACGGCCAACCCAUUCCUGGCCAAGACUCUGAACUCCUCAACCCUCAGCGGGCGGGACCUUCUUCAUUUUAUCGCCUGAAUCGCCACACUUGGGGUCAAACCUGACACGAUUUACAUAAAACCAUGCUUCUUUGUAUGUUGUGCUCGUAUUGAAAGAGAUUGAUAA